ACUCACUAAACCCUGUAUCUAGUUUUAAACCUAAAAGAAACGUUUCACUACCUUUAAUUUAAUUUGUUUUCAUUUAUGUUUUACUUAAAGUCAGCUAGUCCCCGUAAUGUGUGCUAAUCCCCAAAAUAAUCCUUUAAAAUCCAACGCACAGUGUUUAAUUGUGAAAAGCUGGGACAGGAAGUUGUAGAUUUAUGCUGGUUAGCGUAACAGCGGUUGCCGCCGGGGUCUACGGGACCGUCCCUCCCAGGAAGACAGAACCCGACACCGCCUCCUGCUCCUCCUGCCUCCGUCGUUGAGGGCCGUCCUGGAGAGCGGUUCGCCGUCUGUUCUUCGUAGUGGACACCGUGUCAUCACUCAUUUUUAUUCAUCGAGCUGGUUAGCAGCCUUUUCUAUUUAAUUCAGUUGCUUGUUUGGGCUUUUAGCCAGAGAGUGUGUGAGGGACGGACACAUUUAGAUUCAGACAACGUGACUGCAUGCUACGAGCGACGAGAAAUAACGGAAAGCAGGAGCAGCGAAAAAGCCUGAAAAGGACCGGUUGUUGAUUUCACCAAGAUAAACAACUGGCACAACAAGUGUCAGCUGCUGAUGUCGGAGGCCAUCGGCUAUUUGCAUCUCUCUUUGCCCGGCAGGAGAUUCAUUGUAGCUGCUGACCUGCCUGACAGUGGUUCAUCUUUUGUUAUUGUUUUUUUUUUUUUUGUUUGUUUGUUUUUUACCGGCCUGAUGGGAAUCAGUUGAGUAAAACAAUAGGCGUACACUUUGGCUGACUCAAGCUUUGAUUUCCUUUUAGUUGAACUUUAUUACAAUACCAGGAGAAAAGUUGCAGUCAGAUAUGCUACAUUAUAUCAUGAAGAUCAUAUUCAGGAAAUACUCAGGGCAGGCAACCUUUUUAAAAAAAAAAAACCCAAAAAACUGCACUCUGAAUUUUCCAAGAAAUACACUCAGGGUGUAGGCAACGCAUGUCGGUAUUGUUCAACAUUUGCUCUACUUUAUGAUACACAAUGACAUUUAAUAGAGUGACUUUCAGUACAGCUUGACAUUUAAGCAGCUUUUCCUCUGUCUUCAUCCCCUCAUCCUAUCUUCCCUUUCUCUUUCUCUUUCCCUUCCCUUUAUUUUCCUCCAGUCCACCUACAUCUCCUCCUUCCCUACAUGUCCUCUCCACCUCCUCUUCUCCUUUUCUUUAUGCACUUGACACCCCCUUUUGCCCUUGUCCACACUUCUCCACCUCCCCUUCUGUCCUCUCAACCCCUCAUUCAUCUCUAUGGCUCUCUCUUUUCCCCUUCAUUGAUUUGCCCGGUGGCGUUGCUAAGAGACGACCGCAGUCGGAGCGCUGCGAAGGAUAGAGUAGAUGGAAAGACAGUUUUACCUGCUCAGAAAAGGAAGUAAAGAUUGAAACAGGAGAUUCUCUCUCAGAUAUCAUGUGGCUUUGGUAUGUCCUAGCGGAAGCUGGUUGGUUGUGCAAGAAAGUUGCACCAGUAGUUUACAAAGAAACACGUGUGUUCGUUGAGUUGUUUUUUUUUUUGUUUUUUUUUUCAGUUUUAUUUGAACAUGACUGGCGUUAAGGAUUAUUGAUUAAUGUGCUUUUAUGAUUACCUUUUUAUCUGUUCAGUAUAUGAAACUGAGAAAAUAGAAGGAAAUGUCUGUAACUAAUUGUCUGGAGCCUAAAAUGAUCUUUUCAAAUGUUUCUUAUUGUAGAGCUGAAUCUGAAAAUUUGACAGCUCUGCUGCUUUGUUUGUUUUAUAGUAUACUUUUUUUUUUUUUUUAAACUUGUCCUGCAACUAGAUUUGUCAAAAAAAUUGAUACUCGGAUGCAAAAAAAUAGUAUUGAAUUAAUAUUAAUUUGUAAAAGUACCAACAGUGCCAUCUGUCAGACAACUAUAAUCAGUUGUCUGAUAGACAAAUUAAAGUGAGAAAAAUUUAGCAGCAACUAGACAGAAACAGUGCAAACGUGCACUACAGACUCUGUUUGAUCAGCAGUGAAAACAUGGAGCCAAAUCACCAGAAGCACUGCUCUACCUCAAAGGUCUUAAAUCAUUGUUGUUACAAAGAAACCAAUAACUGCAUGGUGUGAUUUCUUUAUUUUUUCGCUACCUAAAAGAAACUUAAAAUAUUUGUCCUAUUAGUUUUUAACUAUAUGAUAUAAAUUGAUAUUAUUUUUUGUAUUGUUCUGGUGUUUUUCUUUUCUUUUUUUAAUGCCUCUUUAUUGUUUGUAAUUUUUUUCCCUGUGGCAUCAAAAAUGGCAUUGGGUAACAGGUAUUUUCCUUGGUGUCAGUAUUAUGUUUGUAAUUUUAGUAUCAUGACAACCCUACUUACGGGUGCAACUUACUAAGUUUUGACUUAAUGCAAUGUUGACAUUGUUUUGCCCAACUUCUUAUGUGGAAGUGUCUACAGGACUUCACUAUAAGUGGUAGUUUUAAAUUUGAAUAACCUGAAUAUACUAAUGAUAAUAAUAAUAAUAAUAAUACUAGUAACAAUAAUAAUAAUGAUA
ensembl:lncRNA